rnacentral:rRNA from 1 species
UACGGAGGAUGCAAGCGUUGUCCGGAUUGAUUGGGUUUAAAGGGUGCGUAGGCGGCCUAUUAAGUUGGUGGUAAAAACGUUCGCCUUAACCGGAUACCCGCCAUUGAUACUGAUAGACUUGAGUGCGACAGAGGGUGUUGGAAGGUGUGGUGUAGCGGUGAAAUGCUUAGAUAUCACGCAGAACACCAAUUGCGAAGGCUGAUGCCUAUGUCGUAACUGACGCUGAGGCACGAAAGCGUGGGGAGCAAACAGG